rnacentral:lncRNA from 1 species
AUAAUGAAUGGAAAAAUAAUAAUAAUAAUAAUAAUAAAUAAGAAUGCAAUUAAAAUUUUAAUUGAGCAAUACUAUUUAUACACACUAGACACGAAUUUUUAUAUUCAGUUACUUAUACUUUUUAUUUUAAAGAAAAAAAAAUAUGAUAGAAUGAGUGAAUUUUUCGAGAGCAAUUUGAUUAGUUGAAGACACCACAUCAUCCAUGUGACUGCUAUAUUUUAGACAUUUUUUUUUCUAGAUUAGAGUGUAAAAUGUAUAUCCUAAUUUUUGGAUAGAUGCGAUCAACCUUAUGUUGGCUUAAAGGAGCCAGCAUUCUGUUCUGUGGUGGGAGAUUUAGGCUAAGUCACGUUCGGAAUGGCGGAGGUCGGGUUGGGCCGAGUCACAAUCGACAUUCGUGGACGCUUUGUCUAUACACUUUAAAUCAAUUGGUUACACAUUUCUAAUAACUCGAGUUUUUGAGAUUAAUGGUUAGCACCCAUGAUCCGACACACUAGUCAUGACAAUUUUUUUUUUAAUAAAAUUUAUUGAGAUUUUGUAAAUCCUUGGAUGGCCAAGAUGUAAAACGUACACCCUUAAUUCAUAGGAGUGCGCAAGUUGUAUUUUAAUUUUUAUACUUACUAACUUAAAUUUUUUAGUCUAUGGUGACUAAAUUUUGUAGACUAGCUUGGUUGACUAGAGUCUGAUAUUUUACUUUGGUAGUAAUAAUGUGGCACUAGUGUAGUGACCCGUGUGCUUCGGCGGAUAUAUACUGUUAAAAUAAAAAUUUGUAAAAAAUAAAAUAUCAGUUUAGUAUAAAAAUAUAAUAAAUAUAGUCUAUAUUAUAAACAAACACUUUUUUUAACAAAAAAACUAUAAUGAAAAAAAAAUCAAUCGUUUCAACAAAAUUAUUCAAUCUUGUUCAAAAGAGAUCGCAUAUCAUACAAAUGGAUGAUUAAAAUUAUUUUUAUAACACAAUAAUAAAAAAAAUAUUAUAUUGCAGUUAAUAUGACUAAAGAAAGACUCACAAUAAUACAUAAGACAAUUCAUAAGUAUUAUAUAUAUAUGUGUGUGUGUAUAUAUCUAUAGAUAAAAAUAUAUAUCACUUUUAAUCAAUUAAUUGACUCCGAAUAGGAAACACAACAAAGGUUCGAAUUUACAAAUUUAAGAAAGAUGGUGAAAGACCAAAAGAUAAAGAAAAUGGGUAAAUUUUUUUUUUUUUAGAAUGAGAAAAAGUAAAAAAAAAAAAAAAAAGUAGGCCCCACUUUUCCUCAAAUUAAGGGGGUGGGUACAUGUAGGAUUUAGUCAUGGAGAUUAAUGUAUAAGUACGGAAGUAUGGAUCUUAUUCAUUACCCUAUCAACAAUUACAAUGGUACUACAUUGCCAGCAUAUUAACAGCACAGCACUAUCUUGCCAAUUCAAUUAGAUGGUAGAACUUAACUAUGAUAAUAUUAAAUAUUUGAGUCAGAAAUUAUAAUAUAUUAAAGUUUAAGAAAAAAAUAUUGCACACUUCAAACUUUGAGUACACAAAGUAGCCCAGCUUUUGUACUAUUAAUAGUACAUUAUUACUAUCGAGUUUUCUGCGUUAGAUCUAUCAUUUAAUCAUUUCCAUCCGCUAGAUUAUACUAUUCAACCAACCACUCACUCAACUCUAGAAAACCACUAUCAUUCUAAUCAGGGACCGUUAUCAUGCUAACUGCACAUCCUUUCAUCCAAAGGUUAAAAACUCGAUAGUACCAAGCACUUAGUACUAUUAAUAGCAUAGUAGCAUAAUUCGUACUAAAAAUGUAAUUAACUUUGAAAAUUAUUAUUGCAAUUGCCAUC